AACUAGCUAUUGUGUCGUGUCUCCUUUGAACUAAAGUUACAUCGUCAGUCUCAUCUGCUAGCAACGGCUAGAUUCUUGGGUCGCAUGCCAUGAGAGGAGUGUUCAUCUCGUUGGUUUGACCUCUUUUUUCAGAUACGAUCUCCUCAUUUGGCUCACGCAUUUGGUGCAAGCGUCGUCUACUUCCAUUGGUUCUUCUCUGGUUUCGCGUUGUCGCUACCCUUCUCCCACCUUGUGGCGCCAAUAUUGGUUUGGGUUGUUCAUACAGCUCUCUAAUAACCCUGGCUCUCGUCCAGGUACCAUAUGCCGCAGCUCCUUCCUCCGCUUUCUCAUGUGGGCACUCGUUGUUGCUGUGUCCAAGUCUUCCACAAUUAUAACAGAGAUCAAAGAGACGUUCGUACUACAGUUCUGCCAAGUUUUUGAGUCGUCGACAUUGGGGACCAGAAACCAACUAGAAAGGGCUAGAUGGUGUCUAUUUCUACUCGGAGGCGCAGGAAGCCUUUGGCUUGGUUGGGGUUCUCAUACUCAAUC
rnacentral:lncRNA from 1 species